CUAGCCGCCGCUCGCCUUCUUCUUCCUCUUACAUUUUCUUCUUUGUUUCCAUUUUUUCUUGUUUCUCAUUCUUCCUCUUCCUCUUCUUUGUUUACUUCUUCCGCCUCUUCUUCCUUAUUUCCUUUCUUUCUUCGUUUACUUCUUCUUUUUUGUUUCAUUUUUCUUCUUCUCUAGAGCAGCCGUUGUCCGCCUGUUCCGUUCGUGGUCCCCGAUUGAUGUUGGAGAUGAAAACCGAAGACACCAUUGUCACCGAUAGGAGCUUUCUGGCGAAAGAAAGAAGGCUCUUCGGAAGUUCCCAAAAGAAACUGAAAGAGACGAAUCUUGAUUAAACUACCUUAGAUGCUUUACCAUUAUUUUCAAAGCUUCUCCUCCGUGUCAACCGCAAUUGUUCGAAGGCAAAAAAAUAUGCAAGUAUGAGGAUUUAGUAGAUCAGCCCCUCCCCUCAGCCCCCUUCAAAAUUCUGCACCACGAAAAAUUCUGCAAUCAGGGAAGUUUUUCUUGGCUUUGAAUAUUGAUAAUAUAUAAGUUUGCUUCUUGAUUGUUUGUUUGUAUAUGUCUUGAUUGUUGUAGGUUAGAUUAGAUUGGUUUAGGUUGUUUAAUUUCUGUCUAGUUCCUUAACCUUGUUGUUGCAGUAGGAUAAUUUGUGUUGUUCUGUUUCUUGAAUUUCCUUGGCUAAGAUGAGCUGCUCCUUUAAUUAACUUAGAUUGGUAUUGUUGUAAAUCUAAGUUAGUUUUGUGUUUAUUUAGUUGUUUAGGUUUAGAACUUGUUAAUUAAGCUUGGAUUCAAUUUUAGUCGAUGUUUAAUAUAAUUGUUAUUUACUAGUAGGUUUGCACUUCAUUGUGAAGUUCUAAUGAAUCAGAGAUUCUCAUCAGCAUUGAAUAGAAGGUGGGAGUCCAUGUCCACACUUAUGGAAGCGUGUUUCGUGAUUUUAUCAUUUUCAAAUCAUUAUUCCUUUGGUCGGAUAAUUUAUCCUUGGGAACAACCUGAAGAUUAUUUCUCUUGCUGAUGAUGAAUUUCUGAGUAGCUUUUAGCUCUGAAUGAUGCUGAGAAUCUAGAGGAUCUGUUUGAUGGUAUUAUAUAACAAUCGAGGUUCUCCAUUUGUUUGACUAUGUGUGAAGCAACAUGAAAAUAUCAAAUUGCACUGAUGCUUUUUUAGAUACAACAUUGUUGUAGCAAGUGAAGCAUUUUUGUAUCAUUUAUUUUGAUUAAUGUGUUGCAGAGUAGCAUAUUCAAGGGUCAGCCUAUUUUAUUAGUGCUUUUCGAGUUUAUUUGUUACUAUACUUGUAUUUAAGAUAAGGUCCCUUGAUUAAGCUAAAACGUAAGUUUUAUUUUAUUAUAUUCAUCCAUAUUGUUUACAGAGGCAGACCUUUCUUGUAACUAGCGCUCGUUUAACCUAUUUAUAUAGGUGAUACCCUAGCCAUUGUUAAGGUGUAUGUUACAGCUGUAAUAGUCCCGGAGACCGCACUUAUCCUUCCAACUAAUGCUAGAGCAAAAAUUCUCGUUGAUGUAUCCUUCCAACUAAUGCUAGAGCAAAAAUUCUUGUUGAUGUAUUCGACGGAGAUAAUAUCGAGUAGAUUUAUCAGGAUGUACAUAUUUUUUUUAUUUACUUUAUUCCUUUGGAAAUUAAAUUACUUCAAUUUUUAUAUUAAAUGCUUAUAUAUUAUUAAAAACACAUUGCAGUUGGUUCGCCGUCCGUGAUUGCAUACUCCAUGAUUCUGCACUCGACGAGCUGGGUCAUUCAUAGUUGUAUUUAUGAGUUGCCCUUAAGAUCGUACUUACGUAUGAUAUCAGAUUUAUCUAUUUACGUAUUACUUUUUGGUUUUGCGUAUCGUUAUUUAGUAGGUUGUUAUGUUGGUGUACGGAUUGGUGUUUUUUUGGGAUGUUUUGUUAGCACCGUUGACGACUAAUAUUUUAUUUUUGGCUGGACUAUGAACAUCGUUGUAUUGAUGACCAUGUGUAGUAUUACCAUGGAUUUGGAAAAAAUUAUGAUAAGAUUAGGUUUUAAAUUAUUUGUC